GGCUUGUGGCUCAGUGGUAGAGCGCUCGCUUAGCACAUGCGAGGCCCUGAGUUCAAUCCUCAGCACCA
rnacentral:tRNA from 1 species